rnacentral:tRNA from 1 species
UCUAAUAUGGCAGAAUAGUGCAAUGAACUUAAGCUUCAUAUAUAAAGUUUAGCUUUUGUUAGAA